UUCUCCCACCACAUCUUGUUCUUCUCCUCCGCCGCCUUCCAUCUUCUGUUCCUCUUACUCCUCAACAAUCUCCUAUCACACCAAUUAUUUCUCCUAAAUCUCCUAUUUAAAACCUUCCACUUUCAGUCUCAGGACCACUGUCGAAUCCUUUAAGCAACGGCGGAGGAGGAUCUCCUCGAACUCCAUCUUUACCGUCUUCUUCUUCAUAUGGGUUAUCAACAGGAGUGGUGGUUAGUAGAUCCAUUGAGGAGUCACAGCGGCAAUGGCGGACACAUAGACAGUGGUGACAUAGGCAUAAACAACGACAUAUAUGAAGACGACGGCGGCAAUUACGUGUAGACGGGAGACAGAGAACUCACAGCUGAGAAAAACAAAGAAAAUUAGAUUGGGGUGAAAAUUUCAAUUUUUUUUUGAAUUGCUGUUUGAAAAUUUCAAUUUUUAUAUUUGAUUUCAUUGGGUUGCGCAAACUUCCCAGAAUUAUUAGGUGUUUAAUUCAAUUGGCAUUGGCAGGAUACAAAGAUCAGGAAAUGCAUCAUUGACAAGAAUGCCAAGAUUGGGAAGAACGUGAUAAUCUUGAACAAAGAGGAUGUGCAAGAAGCUGAUAGGCCAGAGGAAGGAUUCUACAUUAGGUAUGGGAUCACUGUGAUUGUGGAAAAGGCGACCAUUAAAGACUGGACUGUCAUAUGAACAAGGGAGAGUGAUCAUUAACCAAUUUUUGAAUGUACAUUUUCUAUUAAAAGUAUAUUUUUACUUGUGAUAACAGUACCAUUCAUAUGUACAUUGAUUUUCUCUGUUCAUAUGUACAAAUAUUUGUAAU